AAGGAAGAUAAGAAAAGAAGUUGAAUAAGAGUUUGGUUUCUUUUAAACUUGUUAACUCAUACAGAACUCGAGAGCCAAAUAUAUAUGGCCAGCAAUAAAUGCGAAACAAGCAAAGUAGUUCUAACUAAAUAAGGAAACUGAAUUAUACCAAAUAAAGAAGAAAACUAAUUAAGGAUUCUACCAGGAAUAGGUGUUGGUACCAUAACAUAUUAUCUAGGUAUUGUCCAUGAAGCAGAUUUUUUUUUUUGAUAUUGUCGAACGAAGGAAAAUUCAACUGGACGAGGAACUAGGUGUAUUGCAUUGUGGCACAAUGCAUUUGGUGGAGAUGGAUGCGGCGUAGUCACUGUUAUACAGAGAAAGACUCUGCAGCAACACUGGGGUAGUCAAGUUUCUUACUCUUCUAUUGAAAACUAAGGCAAUGUUCUAUUGUACAUUAUACUUACGAAAAUGUGGAGUUCUUGGUUGGUGGAUUCAUGACGCAAUUUUCUUCUUUCUGGUUGUAACAAUAAUAUGCUGAUUACAUUUGGAUAUGGAAACCACCUCUACCCAGCUAAAAUACGUCAGGGAUCUGGACGGAUUUACGAAGUGCCGCCCUGAAGUAUAUAUAUAUAUAUAUAAUAUCAAAAGAUUGGACCUUUAUAUGAAGGUGUCUUCCAGAAAUGAACUCAGAGCAGACCAUCAAGCUAUCCCAAAAUGAUAUAAAUAUCUUGCCGCCUUAGAGAUGACACAAAAUGACAGCAUAUAUGGAGAUUAAAAGCUCGACAAUGGAUACAGCCUUUCGAAAGGCAAUAAAAGUUCUCAUUGUAGUUCCCGUUAUCCCUUAAAGCUCCAUCACCAUGAGUUAUAUCUUGCUAACAAAGAUAUGAGUGUUUCUUCAAAAUUAGGGGUGGAUUUUGGAUCUCAACGGUAAUCUCAUUGUAGCAUACCCAUGGUCAAUUCAUCUUGGCAUUAAGGAAGUACUGGUGGUCAAGCAACAAACCCGUAAAGAAAGUAUCCUUCGUUGUUUAAAAUUAGCACAUCAAAGAGGUAGUAGUUCUUCGUGAUACACGAGUGGACAUUGAAUGGCUAUAAUGUUUCUCAUGACAUUUGAUUCCAGUAGAGAGCAUUUAUUUGCUAAAUUGAUUUACUUUAAAUCCUAAUGACGUGGACUAGCUAGAAUGGAAAAUUUAGUCCAGGCUGUAUAAAGAAAAAUGAUGCUGGAUCAAGUAAGACAUGGCAGUGCUGGCGUUUUAGAAUUUUGGUUUGGAUUAAAUGGUUGCAUCCUAAAGGCUCCUUAUAGCAUAAGCAUGGUCGGUUUAUCAUGAAUGCUUUCUUCAAGUGUGACGCUUCACCGUAGGGGAGACCAGGUACUAUCUAAUGUAUGAUUGUUGGGUUCAAGGGAAGUGGAAGAUACAAGUCGCACGCUGAUGCAUUAUGAACUUGCUUCAACUGUUUGGAAAUUCUCCAUUUUGUUUUUGGGAUUAAGCUGGGUAUUGUUUAAGGACGUUUAAACUCAAUUUGAAGGUUUGGAGCUACAUUAGGUUGCAAGGAAGCUAUAGAACUAUGUUGGCCCGAAUGUUCCAUAUGCAAUAAUUUGGGAGCUAUGAAAGAAUGCAAUGCUAGAUACCAUUGGCAGGGGAAACAAGAACACAAAUGAUCUUUUAUUGCCAGUAAAACAGUCGCUUAUUCUGUGAUGCUCCGAUGAAAACUCAGUCAGGAUGCUUCAUUUCACAAUUUAUGUUUAACUGGGAGGAGAUUGUGUAUUGAUAUAAAAGAUCAUUUUUUCCUUCGUUUUUAUUGACAGAAAUUGUUGAUCGUCCUUUGUAAAUAUUUUUUAUCCUUUAUUAAGUAACUUUUUCUUUCUCAAAACAAAAGUAAAAAAUUAUUCAAUUCAUUUGAAUUUGGGUU